ACUCAACACUUAUUCUUUUAAAAAGGGUGAGUCUAAGUUGUAAAAGCGCGCCGUCUAGAGCGGAUUAUUGAUCAGCUUGUUAGCCCUAAACUUGUUUAAAGGAGUUU
rnacentral:sRNA from 1 species